UGGAGCAGUCUGGUAGCUCGUCGGGCUCAUAACCCGAAGGUCGUUGGUUCGAAUCCAGCCCCCGCUACCA
rnacentral:tRNA from 1 species